rnacentral:rRNA from 1 species
CGAGUGCUCCAAGCGUUAUCCGGAAUUAUUGGGCGUAAAGGGUGUGUAGGUGGUAGUGUUAGUCUUCUGUUAAAUUCUUCGGCUUAACCGGGGGCAUGCAGAGGAAACGGCACAACUAGAGGAUGCGAGAGGUACAUGGAACUCAUGGAGUAGGGGUGAAAUCCGUUGAUAUCAUGGGGAACACCAAAUGCGAAGGCAAUGUACUGGCGCACUCCUGACACUGAAACACGAAAGCGUAGGUAGCGAAGAGGAUUAGAUACCCUCGUAGUCUACGCCCUAAACGAUGAUCACUAGUUCUUCGGAGUAUCGACCCUCUGAGGGACGAAGCUAACGCGUUAAGUGAUCCGCCUGGGUAGUACGGCCGCAAGGCUA